rnacentral:rRNA from 1 species
GAUGAACGCUGGCGGCGUGCCUAAUACAUGCAAGUAGAACGCUGAAGCUUGGUGCUUGCACCGAGCGGAUGAGUUGCGAACGGGUGAGUAACGCGUAGGUAACCUGCCUCUUAGCGGGGGAUAACUAUUGGAAACGAUAGCUAAUACCGCAUAAAAGUCGAUAUCGCAUGAUAUUGAUUUGAAAGGUGCAAAUGCAUCACUAAGAGAUGGACCUGCGUUGUAUUAGCUAGUUGGUGAGGUAACGGCUCACCAAGGCGACGAUACAUAGCCGACCUGAGAGGGUGGUAGGCCAGAAUGGGACGGAGACACGGCCCAGACUCCUACGGGAGGCAGCAGGAGGGAAUCGUGGGGAAUGGGGGGAACCGGGACCGAGGAACGCGGCGUGAGGGAAGAAGGUGUUCGGAUGGUAAAGCUCUGUUGUAAGAGAAGAACGAGGGUGAGAGUGGAAAGGGCACGCUGUGACGGUAACUUACCAGAAAGGGACGGCUAACUACGUG